rnacentral:rRNA from 1 species
GAGAAUCAUGGGGGUUGUCUAGAAUGCAGUCGGGCGGGAUACAUCGUUGUAGCAAUACAGCGGUGUGUCUAGCGGCGAACGGGUGAGCAAUACAAGGGCAACUAUCCCUCAGGAGGGGCACAACCCACCGAAAGGUGGGCUAAUACCCCAUGUUUUGCGGCGGAGGCAUCUCUGCCGUAACAAAGGCGCCGCAAGGUGCCGCCUCUGGACAGGCUCUUGUCCUAUCAGCUUGAUGGCGGGGUAACGGCCCACCAUGGCAACGACGGGUAGCCGGCGUGAGAGCGUGACCGGCCACAGGGGAACUGCGAUACGGUCCCCACUCCUACGGGAGGCAGCAGUCUAGAAAUUUGGGCAAUGGGCGAAAGCCUGACCCAGCGACACCGCGUGGAGGAUGAAGUCUUUCGGGAUGUAAACUCCUGACAGGCGGAGCGAUGCCGUUUCGGAGUAACUGCCGUAACGGUGACGGUACUGCCAAAGGAAGCCCCGGCUAACUACGUGCCAGCAGCCGCGGUAAUACGUAGGGGGCAAGCGCUGUCCGGAUUUACUGGGCGUAAAGGGUGUGCAGGCGGUCUGGCGUGUCGGUGGUGAAAGCCCUCGGCUUAACCGAGGAAGUGCUGCCGAAACUACCAGACUUGAGGACGGAAGAGGAAACUGGAACUUCUGGUGUAGCGGUAAAAUGCGUAGAUAUCAGAAGGAACGCCGAUAGCGAAGGCAGGUUUCUGGGACGUUCCUGACGCUGAAACACGAAAGCUAGGGGAGCAAACAGGAUUAGAUACCCUGGUAGUCCUAGCUGUAAACGAUGUACAUUACGCGUGGGGAUUUUCCCCGUGCCGGAGCCAACGCGUUAAAUGUACCGCCUGGGGACUACGGCCGCAAGGUUGAAACUCAAAGGAAUUGACGG